AAUAUUUGACCAUGGGCGAAAUCCACAUCCAGCCAUGCCGCGUGUGUGAAGAAGAUCUUCGGUUUGUAAAGCACUUUAUGUUGGUAAAAAGGGCAGUAAGUUAAUACCUUCCUGUUUUGUCACACCCCACACAAUAAGCUCUCGACAUCUAUGUGCCCUCAGCCGCGGUAAUACGCAUGGUGCAAGCGUUAAUCGGAAUUACUGGGUGUAAAGAGCGCGUAGGUGGUUUGUUAAGUUGGAAGUGAAAGACCCGGGCUCAACCUGGGAACUGCUUUCAAUACUGGCAAGCUAGAGUAUGGCAGAGGGUGGGGGAAUUUCCUGUGUAGCGGUGAAAUGCGUAGAUAUAGGAAGGAACACCAGUAGCGAAGGCGAGCACAUGGGCUGAUACUAACACUGAGGUGCGAAAGCGUGGGGAGCAAACAGG
rnacentral:rRNA from 1 species